GACGAACGCUGGCGGCGUGCCUAAUACAUGCAAGUCGAACGAACUCUGGUAUUGAUUGGUGCUUGCAUCAUGAUUUACAUUUGAGUGAGUGGCGAACUGGUGAGUAACACGUGGGAAACCUGCCCAGAAGCGGGGGAUAACACCUGGAAACAGAUGCUAAUACCGCAUAACAACUUGGACCGCAUGGUCCGAGUUUGAAAGAUGGCUUCGGCUAUCACUUUUGGAUGGUCCCGCGGCGUAUUAGCUAGAUGGUGGGGUAACGGCUCACCAUGGCAAUGAUACGUAGCCGACCUGAGAGGGUAAUCGGCCACAUUGGGACUGAGACACGGCCCAAACUCCUACGGGAGGCAGCAGUAGGGAAUCUUCCACAAUGGACGAAAGUCUGAUGGAGCAACGCCGCGUGAGUGAAGAAGGGUUUCGGCUCGUAAAACUCUGUUGUUAAAGAAGAACAUAUCUGAGAGUAACUGUUCAGGUAUUGACGGUAUUUAACCAGAAAGCCACGGCUAACUACGUGCCAGCAGCCGCGGUAAUACGUAGGUGGCAAGCGUUAUCCGGAUUUAUUGGGCGUAAAGCGAGCGCAGGCGGUUUUUUAAGUCUGAUGUGAAAGCCUUCGGCUCAACCGAAGAAGUGCAUCGGAAACUGGGAAACUUGAGUGCAGAAGAGGACAGUGGAACUCCAUGUGUAGCGGUGAAAUGCGUAGAUAUAUGGAAGAACACCAGUGGCGGAGGCGGCUGUCUGGUCUGUAACUGACGCUGAGGCUCGAAAGUAUGGGUAGCAAACAGGAUUAGAUACCCUGGUAGUCCAUACCGUAAACGAUGAAUGCUAAGUGUUGGAGGGUUUCCGCCCUUCAGUGCUGCAGCUAACGCAUUAAGCAUUCCGCCUGGGGAGUACGGCCGCAAGGCUGAAACUCAAAGGAAUUGACGGGGGCCCGCACAAGCGGUGGAGCAUGUGGUUUAAUUCGAAGCUACGCGAAGAACCUUACCAGGUCUUGACAUACUAUGCAAAUCUAAGAGAUUAGACGUUCCCUUCGGGGACAUGGAUACAGGUGGUGCAUGGUUGUCGUCAGCUCGUGUCGUGAGAUGUUGGGUUAAGUCCCGCAACGAGCGCAACCCUUAUUAUCAGUUGCCAGCAUUAAGUUGGGCACUCUGGUGAGACUGCCGGUGACAAACCGGAGGAAGGUGGGGAUGACGUCAAAUCAUCAUGCCCCUUAUGACCUGGGCUACACACGUGCUACAAUGGAUGGUACAACGAGUUGCGAACUCGCGAGAGUAAGCUAAUCUCUUAAAGCCAUUCUCAGUUCGGAUUGUAGGCUGCAACUCGCCUACAUGAAGUCGGAAUCGCUAGUAAUCGCGGAUCAGCAUGCCGCGGUGAAUACGUUCCCGGGCCUUGUACACACCGCCCGUCACACCAUGAGAGUUUGUAACACCCAAAGUCGGUGGGGUAACCUUUUAGGAACCAGCCGCCUAAGGUGGGACAGAUGAUUAGGGUGAAGUCGUAACAAGGUAGCCGUAG
rnacentral:rRNA from 1 species